AUUGAACGCUGGCGGCAGGCCUAACACAUGCAAGUCGAACGAGUGGCGGACGGGUGAGUAAUGUCUGGGAAACUGCCUGAUGGAGGGGGAUAACUACUGGAAACGGUAGCUAAUACCGCAUACCAUCGGAUGUUCCCAGAUGGGAUUAGCUUGUAGGUGAGGUAACGGCUCACCUAGGCGACGAUCCCUAGCUGGUCUGAGAGGAUGACCAGACACACUGGAACUGAGACACGGUCCAGACUCCUACGGGAGGCAGCAGUGGGGAAUAUUGCACAAUGGGCGGAAGCCUGAUGCAGCCAUGCCGCGUGUAUGAAGAAGGCUGUCGGGUUGUAAAGUACUUUCAGCGGGGAGGCGUUACACGCAGAAGAAGCACCGGCUAACUCCGUGCCAGCAGCCGCGGUAAUAC
rnacentral:rRNA from 1 species